rnacentral:rRNA from 1 species
UACGGAGGGGGCGAGCGUUGCUCGGAGUCACUGGGCGUAAAGGGCGCGUAGGCGGUGAACCAAGUGUCGUGUGAAAGCCCACGGCUCAACUCGGGGAGGCCACGGGAGACUGGGUCGCUCGAGCUGCGGAGAGGCCCCUCGAAUUGCCGGUGUAGCGGUGAAAUGCGUAGAGAUCGGCAGGAAGACCAAGGGGGAAGCCAGGGGGCUGGCCGCAUGCUGACGCUGAGGCGCGACAGCGUGGGGAGCAAACCGG